rfam:Sus scrofa isolate TJ Tabasco breed Duroc chromosome 14, whole genome shotgun sequence.
UCCCUGGUGGUCUAGUGGUUAGGAUUUGAUGCUUUCACUUCUGUGGCCCAGGUUCAAUCCCUGGUCUGGGAA